UACAGAGGUCUCAAGCGUUGUUCGGAUUCAUUGGGCGUAAAGGGCGCGUAGGUGGCGCCAUAAGUCAGGUGUGAAAUCUCGGGGCUCAACCCCGAAACUGCACUUGAUACUGUGGUGCUCGAGUACUGGAGAGGAGAUUGGAAUUUACGGUGUAGCAGUGAAAUGCGUAGAUAUCGUAAGGAAGACCAGUGGCGAAGGCGAAUCUCUGGACAGUUACUGACACUGAGGCACGAAGGCCAGGGGAGCAAACGGG
rnacentral:rRNA from 1 species